rnacentral:lncRNA from 1 species
UUAAUUCUGUCAUGCACUUGGUGAUGUAUUCAUUCUAUCUCACAGAUGGGGAACCAGAAGAACUAAAGGCAAAGGCAUAUGUCCAAGUUGACAAAGCAAGUCUGUGAUGAAGCCUGGAGCUGAAACUAGACACUGACUCGUAUGCUGGCUUAUACCUUAGAAGUCUAUCUWUUGUAUCCAUCCAUAUGCUUCUGAGAUGCUGGUUUUUUACUCCUAAUGUAAGGUUCAGAGUGGAAACAUCCCAUCAAAGAGUUCUUGCAAUCUGUCUGACAGGAUUUCAUCUGUGGUGGCACAUACYGGCUGCUAAGUAA